GACGAACGCUGGCGGCGUGCCUAAUACAUGCAAGUUGAGCGCUGAAGGUUGGUCCUUGUACCAACUGGAUGAGCAGCGAACGGGUGAGUAACGCGUGGGGAAUCUGCCUUUGAGCGGGGGACAACAUUUGGAAACGAAUGCUAAUACCGCAUAAAAACUUUAAACACAAGUUUUAAGUUUGAAAGAUGCAAUUGCAUCACUCAAAGAUGAUCCCGCGUUGUAUUAGCUAGUUGGUGAGGUAAAGGCUCGCCAAGGCGAUGAUACAUAGCCGACCUGAGAGGGUGAUCGGCCACAUUGGGACUGAGACACGGCCCAAACUCCUACGGGAGGCAGCAGUAGGGAAUCUUCGGCAAUGGACGAAAGUCUGACCGAGCAACGCCGCGUGAGUGAAGAAGGUUUUCGGAUCGUAAAACUCUGUUGGUAGAGAAGAACGUUGGUGAGAGUGGAAAGCUCAUCAAGUGACGGUAACUACCCAGAAAGGGACGGCUAACUACGUG
rnacentral:rRNA from 1 species